rnacentral:rRNA from 1 species
AGUGAACGCUGGCGGUAGGCCUAACACAUGCAAGUCGAACGGCAGCACAGUAAGAGCUUGCUCUUACGGGUGGCGAGUGGCGGACGGGUGAGGAAUACAUCGGAAUCUACUUUUUCGUGGGGGAUAACGUAGGGAAACUUACGCUAAUACCGCAUACGACCUACGGGUGAAAGCAGGGGAUCUUCGGACCUUGCGCGAUUGAAUGAGCCGAUGUCGGAUUAGCUAGUUGGCGGGGUAAAGGCCCACCAAGGCGACGAUCCGUAGCUGGUCUGAGAGGAUGAUCAGCCACACUGGAACUGAGACACGGUCCAGACUCCUACGGGAGGCAGCAGUGGGGAAUAUUGGACAAUGGGCGCAAGCCUGAUCUAGCCAUACCGCGUGGGUGAAGAAGGCCUUCGGGUUGUAAAGCCCUUUUGUUGGGAAAGAAAAGCAGCAGGUUAAUACCCCGCUGUUCUGACGGUACCCAAAGAAUAAACACCGGCUAACUUCGU